rnacentral:rRNA from 1 species
UACGAAGGGUGCAAGCGUUACUCGGAAUUACUGGGCGUAAAGAGUGCGUAGGCGGUUCUUGAAGUCCGCUGUGAAAGCCCCAGGCUUAACCUGGGAAUGGCAGUGGAAACUGGAGGACUUGAAUUAGCAGAGGGGGGUGGAAUGCCGCGUGUAGCAGUGAAAUGCGUAGAGAUGCGGCGGAACACCGAUGGCGAAGGCAGCCCCCUGGGCUUAAAUUGACGCUGAGGCACGAAAGCGUGGGGAGCAAACAGG